rnacentral:tRNA from 1 species
AGGAUAAUAGUUUUUAUUAACAUUCAAGUUGCAUUUGAAAGGAAUUGAAAUCUCAAUUUAUCUUA